GCGCCUCUAACUCAAUUGGUCAGAGUUCCGGUCUUUUAAACCGGCGGUCCGAGUUCGAUCCUCGGGGGGCGCA
rnacentral:tRNA from 1 species